rnacentral:rRNA from 1 species
CCCUUAGAUGUUCUGGGCCGCACGCGUGUUACACUGAGUAAUUCAAUGGGUAAGGGAACGCUAGAGCAUUACCUAAUCUUGAAAUUUGCUCGUGAUGGGGAUCGACGGUUGCAAUUUUCCGUCGUGAACGAGGAAUACCUUGUAGGCGCAUGUCAUCAUCAUGCGCCGAAUACGUCCCUGCCCUUUGUACACACCGCCCGUCGCUCCUACCGAUUGAGUGAUCCGGUGAGGCUCUGGGACCUGGACGGAAAGAGCGUUUCGCUUGUUCUGUUUGGGAAACUUGGUCGAACCUUAUCAUUUAGAGGAAGGAGAAGUCGUAACA